GAUGAACGCUAGCUACAGGCUUAACACAUGCAAGUCGAGGGGAAACGACAUUGAAGCUUGCUUCGAUGGGCGUCGACCGGCGCACGGGUGAGUAACGCGUAUCCAACCUGCCUCUGACUAAGGGAUAACCCGGCGAAAGUCGGACUAAUACCUUAUGAGGUUUUCUGCAGACAUCUAACGAAGACGAAAGAUUUAUCGGUCAGCGAUGGGGAUGCGUCUGAUUAGCUUGUUGGCGGGGUAACGGCCCACCAAGGCAACGAUCAGUAGGGGUUCUGAGAGGAAGGUCCCCCACAUUGGAACUGAGACACGGUCCAAACUCCUACGGGAGGCAGCAGUGAGGAAUAUUGGUCAAUGGGCGAGAGCCUGAACCAGCCAAGUAGCGUGCAGGAUGACGGCCCUAUGGGUUGUAAACUGCUUUUAUGUGGGGAUAAAGUGAGCUACGUGUAGUUUAUUGCAGGUACCACAUGAAUAAGGACCGGCUAAUUCCGUGCCAGCAGCCGCGGUAAUACGGAAGGUCCAGGCGUUAUCCGGAUUUAUUGGGUUUAAAGGGAGCGUAGGCCGUGGAUUAAGCGUGUUGUGAAAUGUAGACGCUCAACGUCUGAAUUGCAGCGCGAACUGGUUCACUUGAGUAUGCACAACGUAGGCGGAAUUCGUCGUGUAGCGGUGAAAUGCUUAGAUAUGACGAAGAACUCCGAUUGCGAAGGCAGCUUACGGGAGCACAACUGACGCUGAAGCUCGAAGGUGCGGGUAUCGAACAGG
rnacentral:rRNA from 1 species